ensembl:lncRNA
GAGAUCUCUCCUUUGUGGAGUUUUUUUACAAGCCCAGAUCUUCAGAGGUGGGUGAGCAUCCUUCUUCUUGUGACAUCUUUUCAUUACAUUGAUCCUGAUGCUGUUACACACGUACCAGCAAGCAGAGGGACAGGUGAAGGAAGAAAAAUUUCCUGAGAAGAGACUGUACAAUGAAGGAAGAGGUUCCACACUGUGGAGGAGCCUGUGGCAGAAAGCAGACGAUGUUAAAGUAGACGGUUCCCUAAAGCUGGCUGACCAGAUCAGCAGACGCGCUGUCUUGCUCUGGGUUCCAUCACACUGUGAAGGGGAGGCGGCAUCGCGCAGCCCUGCACGGAGCAGCCCUGCAUCACCUCCUGGCAGCCAAAACCCCGCUUAGCAGAUACUGUGGAAAACAUCAGGCCAGAUGCUCCAGGCUUUUCCUUGGCUCCACGCUAAUGAACACACACCCACCAGAUGAGCAGACAGUGCUGCUGCUGCCCGGCCUCGCUCCUGGAGGUGGCUCAGUGCGUCGGAUCCAGGUCUGACCCGAGUAGUUAUGUUUAAGGUAGCAGCAAACACAAUUGUCAGGACAUCUUCGGUAGCUGCCUGAAUCUCAGCUGUGUAUGUUGAAGAACAGCACUGAUAUCGGACUCAGAUGUUUCUUUUGCUGUCACUGCUGUAGGACUCUGUGGUUUCC